CGAAUGCUGACAUAAGUAACGAUAAAGCGGGUGAAAAGCCCGCUCGCCGGAAGACCAAGGGUUCCUGUCCAACGUUAAUCGGGGCAGGGUGAGUCGACCCCUAAGGCGAGGCCGAAAGGCGUAGUCGAUGGGAAACAGGUUAAUAUUCCUGUACUUGGUGUUACUGCGAAGGGGGGACGGAGAAGGCUAUGUUGGCCGGGCGACGGUUGUCCCGGUUUAAGCGUGUAGGCUGGUUUUCCAGGCAAAUCCGGAAAAUCAAGGCUGAGGCGUGAUGACGAGGCACUACGGUGCUGAAGCAACAAAUGCCCUGCUUCCAGGAAAAGCCUCUAAGCAUCAGGUAACAUCAAAUCGUACCCCAAACCGACACAGGUGGUCAGGUAGAGAAUACCAAGGCGCUUGAGAGAACUCGGGUGAAGGAACUAGGCAAAAUGGUGCCGUAACUUCGGGAGAAGGCACGCUGAUAUGUAGGUGAAGCGACUUGCUCGUGGAGCUGAAAUCAGUCGAAGAUACCAGCUGGCUGCAACUGUUUAUUAAAAACACAGCACUGUGCAAACACGAAAGUGGACGUAUACGGUGUGACGCCUGCCCGGUGCCGGAAGGUUAAUUGAUG
rnacentral:rRNA from 1 species